GAUAUUUAGUAAAUCACAUGGCAUAAAAAGAUUACAAAGAUAAAGGCAAGAGAGGGACUUUAAAUAUUCAAACAAGAUAGUGUGAGAGCAGAAGGUUCAUAGCUUAAAAUGGCACUACCUUCAUUUCAAUUAUGGCUUGCGUUGCUGCUGCUUGCAGCAGUAUGUGCAUCUGCAGUAAAUCCUAGGAUAUUUGCUGGAUUAGGUGGGUUAAAAAGAUUAGCCGCCAGCAGGUCCUUUAGCGAUCUUCCACCAGAAUAUGAAAUACAUUACUACAGACAGACACUCGAUCAUUUCAACUAUAAACCAGAAAGUUAUGCUACAUUUCAGCACAGAUAUAUUUUGAAUUACAAGUACUGGGGUGGGGCAAAUACUAGUUCACCUAUCUUUGUUUAUACAGGUGAAGAGGGCGAUAUAACAUAUGAUGUUGAGGGUUUCAUUCUUGAUCUUGCUGCUCGUUUUAAAGGUUUGCUAUUGUAUAUAGAGCAUCGUUACUAUGGAAAAUCAAUGCCUUUUGGAUCUGAAAAUCAAACAUUUCAAAAUUCCAGCACCCUUGGAUACUUGAGCUCAGAACAAGCCUUAGCAGAUUAUGCACAGGUGAUAGUACAUGUUAAGAAGAACCUGUCGGCAGAAAAUUGUCCAGCUAUUGCGGUUGGAGGAUCUUAUGGUGGGAUGCUCGCAUCUUGGUUUCGUCUGAAAUACCCUCAUAUUAUAAUUGGUGCUUUGGCAUCAUCUGCUCCAAUACUGUACUUUGAGGAUAUCACACCACAGGAUGGAUACCAUGCUGUUGUAUCUAGGAAUUUCAGAAAUACCAGUGAAAGUUGCUACAACACCAUUAAAAAGUCCUGGUCCGAAAUUGAUAGAGUUGGAGCUGAAACUAAUGGUCUUCUAACCCUUGGCAACAUCUUCAAUUCUUGCAUGCCUUUGAACUCAUCACAAGAGCUGAAGGACUACCUAGCGCUCAUUUAUAAGGUGUCAGCACAAUUUGACAAUCCUCCAGAUUAUUAUGUAGAGAAUUUGUGUAAGGCCAUUGAUGGAGCACCUCAAGGGACUGAUACUCUUGGAAGAGUUGCUGCUGGUCUAGAUGCCAGUACUAUUUUUGGAGAAGGUUCGUGCCUUUAUGUAUAUGAACCUCCAGUUAUAUUCAGACAGAGUGCAUGGUCAUGGCAGAAAUGCACCGAGAUGGUAAUACCAAUGGGGGUUGAUAACAAUAACACAAUGUUCGAGUUAUCACCCUUUGAUCUCAAUAACUUCACAAAAACCUGCCAAGAAGUUUUCGGUGUCACCCCAAGGCCUAGUUGGGUCCCUGUACAAUUUGGUGGCCGUGUGAUCAGGUUUUCAUUUCCUAUAUUGCCACCGGCGGACGUCGCAUGGGGCAGUGGAGCCAACUGUCCCACUGACUUCCGAAAAUACUGCGCAGAGUUUGUCAAAUAACAAAUGUUCAAUUCAUAGAGAUACGUAUAAGCUUCAACUUUUUGGUUGAGCAGCAUUUUAACAUGAUAUAUACAAGCCACCUCAUCAACUAGAAGAUCAUAAAUCAUAGUCCGUUGAUCAAACUUCAAGCCCAGAUGACAGUGAAUCACGUUCAAUUAUAUAUUUUCAAGCAACAUCAUUUUCAGCAGAGUGGUAGUUGAAAAGAUUCAGAACUUCUGGAAACUCUAUUUGACUGAGUUCUGUAGGUGUCUGAUAUACCUUGUAAUUGAGUGUCUGAAUUAUGUAGUUGGCUACAAGAUUCUGAUUAAGAUGGGUGUAUCAUCAGGUUCUCACUCUUUGGAUCUUGCUAUUCCCCAGCAGGUCCAAAUGGCAACUUAUAGCGACUGCAUGUGCAUCAGGAGAUAGAUAUAUCACUUACAAUGGCAACCUUCCCAGCAAGCCUGACAACAAAAGUCGGCUAAAAUAUUCUCCGUGGGUCUGCUUGUCACAUUGUGUGAAGGACGCUUAGGGAUUGCCUAGUCAAAAUUGUCACUGAUUACAGAACUGAAACAUCUCUUAGACAUGGGUGCAAUGAUAUUCUUAAGGCAGAUUGUGUGAACCUCUUAGUCAAAUACUACAAGGAAGCAAGACGGGGAGUUUGCUUAAGUAGUGAAGGAUAUGAUACGCAAGCGAUAAGUGACGAUAGUAGGGAUUCUCAGGCGACUGAGAGAACAUUGAGCAUUAGAACAAUGGAGGUCAAGUCGAAAACAAGGGGAGAUUCAAGAUGUUGCAUGUGUUUUGAUCCCUUCUCUAUACAAAAUGUGUCGGUUAUUGUAUUCUUUUGCUGUCAUGCUUAUCACAUGACUUGUUUAAUGGAUUCCAUGCAUACUGUAAGUGGCCAAAAAGUGAGUGGAGAAAACAAUGAAUAUGAUGAUGAUGACGAUGAAGAAGAUGAUGAUACUCAAUCCUGUAGUCCUCGAUUGCGAUGCAUUUUGUGUACUACUGCUGCCAGUUGAGAUAGUGUGUUCCUUUUUUUCCCCCUUUUUAGCCUGGGGAGUGGGGAAUGGGUGGGUAUUGUAGGAGUUUUUACUAUUUUACCAGGCUUUUCUUUUCUUUUUUCUUUCAUUUUUUUCGUGUCAAUAUAUGAUAUAUGUGUGGUAUUCAUCAACAUGCCAUUUUUGAUA